rnacentral:rRNA from 1 species
UACGUAGGGGGCUAGCGUUGUCCGGAAUCAUUGGGCGUAAAGCGCGUGUAGGCGGUCCGAUAAGUUCGCUGUGAAAGUCGGGGGCUCAACCCUCGGAUGCCGGUGAAUACUGUCGGGCUUGAGUACGGAAGAGGCGAGUGGAAUUCCUGGUGUAGCGGUGAAAUGCGCAGAUAUCAGGAGGAACACCAAUUGCGAAGGCAGCUCGCUGGGACGGUACUGACGCUGAGACGCGAAAGCGUGGGGAGCAAACAGG